GGCGCUGCCUUCACUUCUCAAAGCUCGGUUUUGCUGAUCUAUCUAUCCUGUGUGUAGAGGAGCAGAAACGGCAAGAUGAGUCGGGGGCCGGCAGCUGGAGCUAAGGGGAAGAAGAAGGGAGCGGCCUUUGUGAUUGAUUGCGGGAAACCAGUGGAGGAUAAGAUUAUGGACAUCGCCUCACUGGAAAAGUUCCUCCAGGAGAGGAUUAAGGUUGGUGGCAAGGCCGGUGCCCUCGGUGACACCGUAACCGUCACUCGUGACAAGACCAAGAUCACCGUUACCUCUGACAGCAAUUUCUCUAAAAGGUACUCAAUUGAUUUUGUUCAUUCCUUAAAUUUGUGCUUUGAUAAUUUCUAUAAAAUGGGCGUCUUCAAGUUCGUCUUAUUGGAGCUCUGAGAAAAAUUUAUCGUUUGCUUAGUAUUCAGGUGAACUAGAUCUGCAUAGUGGAAAUGGAAUCUGAUAUUUGAACUAGAUUUCCAGCAGUAAAGCUAUUUAUGAGUAGCAUCUUGAUAUUAUAUGAAUUUAACAUGUUAUGCGUAUUUCAAAUUGUAAUUUCUGCUUGUUUGAUGUCUAUGUUAUGGACUGUAUCAAAUAUGAAUAUUAGGAUCCUUAGUUAUGUCUGAAAUUCCUAAAGUUCAUCUGCUGGUUGCCUCUCAAAUUGAGGGCUUCAUGCCCUGCGCUAGGAGAUACUGGGGUAGUUUUGAGGCUUGUAAAAUGAUUGCUAGCUUGGCUGUGCUGUGCAUAUUGUAAAGCCAUGGCAUUUUUCUUCUGUUUCAUGCCAUCAACUAAAAUACCAACAAAGCAAAUGGCUAUGCCCUGCAUAGCGCUUUUAUUUCUCUGCAUAUUCGGAUUUUUUUCCCACAAUUUUGUAUUUUUGUUGUGUAUGUUGUUGCAUCAUUUUAGCUGAUUAGGUUUAUGACAUUUUGGUCAAUUGCAUUUAACUUUUAUCAGGUAUCUUAAGUACUUGACCAAGAAGUACUUGAAGAAACACAAUGUGCGAGAUUGGCUUCGGGUGAUUGCUUCCAACAAAGACAGGAAUGUGUAUGAACUGCGAUACUUCAACAUUGCUGAGAAUGAGGGAGAGGAGGAAGAUUAAUCAUCCAAUUCAGUAUUUUAUAUGUUUAAAUUUUCCUGUUUAGAGCCUCAUUAUCUAUUUGAGCUGUUGGAUGUGCAAGACUCGUUGGGGUUGUUUUGUGAUCCUUUCUGAAUUUGUGGAAAUUUUGACUGCUUAUAAUUAGAUAUCUUCUUUCGAUGUAUUAGAUGCUAUUAAUACGAGGCAGAUUUCAUGCUUCAAUUUGGUUUUAAAGAUCCAUCUUUAGAUUUCCAUUUUUAUAGACGUGGAUAUAAUUCAACGUUCAGAACUUUGUAUUAGCAACGAAUUGGCGCAACUCCUUUGAUCUAACGCCAUGGUUGCAUGGUUGACCUUUAUGCCAAAGCUCGUCUCAUCGACAAGGCUUGGAAUAAGAUAAAAUCCAUGCUUAUUGAGUCGGAUGUGCACGUGUGGGGUGAGUGGAUAUAGGAUCCAUGGAAACUCCAGAAACUAACUGGUUUGGAUCCCACCAGAAACUCCAGAGAUUUUAUGGAUGUCAAAGGAGGUCAAGAAAGUCAUCGGUUGCAGUUUGGUUGAGGCAGGAUGCAUCCUUCAAGAGUUUUUAGUUGGAGGUCAUUCUCAUUCAGAAAGUGAAUCAAUAUAUUGAUGCUUGAUGAGAUUGUGACUCCCUUGGUAUUAUUAGUCAUGAAUAUUACGUUUCUGCUUCGCAUCAAGGGGGUAUUGGUUUUGUGUGCUGCUUUUCAGUAUAAUAUUUGAAAAGAUGAAAGUCUAAAAAACUAUUAUGAGGUAGCACACAAAGCAUAGAUAAACAAAAUCAAACCCGAAAACCAAAAGCCUAGCCAUUCUCAGAGAAACGGUGCUCCAUCGGUGAAAGUGAAUUCGCAGCCCAACUAUGAGUAACCGCCAACAAAAAAUUAAAACAAAAAAUUGAAAAGAGGGAUUAUAAUUCUACAGCAUCAUCCUAUGAGCGCUGAUCUGGUUUAAGAAGAAUUGUGCUACAGAUUUAUCUGGUUCAGAAAAGGUUAAACCAAGCUGCUUGCCCAAAAAACACAGUUUGCCAUGCUUCGUCUUCAUUAUCCAAAGGGUAGACCGAACAGCUUUGGGAUCGGCCUGAUUUUCUAUGGUGCGAAUUCAUCCGGCUAAUGUCAGAAUCAGUUGGCUGCCCCACCUUCUUCGAUUUUACUUGUCAUCUUCUUCCCUCCACAAGUCAGUUAAGGGUGAUUAGUCCAGCAAAUCUGCCAACAGCUUAUUCUUUUUUUCUGCGUGUAAGAAGGCGGGAGGCUUUGAUG
rnacentral:misc_RNA from 1 species